GCGCACUGUGCCCACGCCUUGAAGGCCCCGAGAAGCCUGUCUGUUCUUGCCAUCGGCAAAGACCGCACAGAGAGGAAGCUGGAGCUGUGGGCGAACAAUAAACAGCAUCUUGAGAAGCAGUGUAGCCAGGCGUGGUGGCGAACGCCUGUGAUCCCGGCACUCGGGAGGCUGAGGCAGGAGGAUCACUAUGAGUUCAAGAACAGCCUGGAUUACAUAGUGAGUUCAAGGCCAGCCUGGAUCACAUGUUCAGUGCUGACCGGAAGCUCAAGGAAGCAUGAGGCAGACGAAGAAGAAGAUGGAGGUGGUGACAACAGCAGGAGCAAUGGUGUGGUUCUCUUUCACAUGGUCAAAGACAGAAUGUCAGUUGUGACAGUUGAACUGGAUUGCCAACUUGAUUGGAUUGAGAGCUGCCCAUGGGAUCAGUAAAGCCCACUUCUGGAUGUGUGCAGUGGGUCAUGGAGCUCUGUGGGUCAGGCUGCAGUUUGGAAAGCUGUUCCACACUUCUUCCCGUUCCUCGUGGAUCACUGAUUCCUUGGAGCAGAGCUUCUUGUGGGGAGGAUAGGAAGGUCAGAG
ensembl:lncRNA